rnacentral:antisense_RNA from 1 species
UUCCCCAGGCUUUUCCCAUCUCCAUCCUGUUCUCUCGUAGGCCGGUUUUUCUUCCGCCUCUCUGGGGAUUUUCGCGUUGGUUCUCCCUGCCCCCAGGAGUGAGGCGGGUAACGCCCACGCCUACCUCCGGUGCUGGGGAAAAAGAUUACUUCCCAGAUGCAGUAUUUACAUCUCCUCCGCCCCACUCUUCCAUCCCUGCCUGAAAUAAGUGUGGUUCUCGUGUCUGUGAGACUAUGAAGAGUUCUCAAAUAUGUCUUUCCUAGCGAGGGAGAGGAGAGUGAGUAUCCAGGAACUUUAAUGGGAUAGGACAUCAAUAUGAGUGUUUAUAGGGAAAGCCAGUGAUCCUAUUGUUAGACACGAAAUCAAGACGUGAUCUGAUUUUUUGUUUUACUUUUUGUUUUUGAGGUAUAACAUUCAGUAAAGUGCACAAAUCAAAAGUG